rfam:Anoxybacillus sp. B7M1, complete genome.
AUGUUGGAGAAAGUCUAAUCCAAGUAAGUGCCAAGACACUUGAGUAGCUGAUCGGCAAUUGGUGGAGAAAUCCUAGGUGUAUGCCCGAUGACAAUGUAACUUCUUUUAGAGUGCUAGCAAAUCAGCAGGUAGUAACAUAA